CAUCGAUUUGCUGUUAGGGUCGGAUUUUAUUAGAAAAUACUCAUUUCGUUGUAAGAUAAUAAAUCUUUAUGCAACAGGAGUAUUUAUAAUUAUUGCUGUUUUAAUGACAGCAUGUUCAGAAUUAAUAUUUCCAAAAAUAGAAUACGAACACUUCCCCUGGGUGACUGUGUCUCCAUACAUAAAUGGUACAAGAUAUAGGGUUCCUGAGGCUUAUAAAACGCCGGACUUUCGACUCCCGGAGCCCCCGUUUAUGGCAUACACAGGUCCGAAGGGAUACUUAAGAAACAGGAAAGCAAAGAAGGUUCUUUUAGUAUUUGUUUUAUAAUCAAUUAUGAAUAAUAAUAUUAUAUUAUAAAAA